CCCCACACCCCAUCUGUAGAUCAGGCUGGCCUCGAACUCAGAAAUCCGCCUGCCUCUGCCUCCCAAGUGCUGAGAUUAAAGGCAUGCACCACCACCGCCCGGCUGUUACUUCCUUCUUGAUCCCAGACUUUCCCACCAGCAACAGAGACAGGCAGGAAAAGAGCACCUGGGAGAAGCUUUCCUACUGCCGAUGCCACAGCAGCACAAGACCGUGUUUCCCGGCAGCCCGCUUAUCUGGCCAAAGACGGUUUCCUCCUCACACAAUCACAGAGGACCUGUGUGCAAGUGAAAGUAUUGUUUCUGCGCGGCCCAUGGCAUGCCGUCUUUCCCACCGGUUACAGUUCCUCUGCUAGACAAACAGGAAUGUUCUGCUCUGGACUAGGUGAAACUGACUAGCUGCUUCUGUCAGAGCAUUUAAUUGUAUCAAUCAGAAUGGAUAGAACACAUCACCACGAUUCCUCCAAAGAUGGAUUCAAGUCCCCUCAAACCAGGAGCCAACAUUAAGUCCUUCAUUGACUUCGUCAGUUUUUCUGCUGCAAUGAUAAGAAGAAUAGCUAACACCAUGGGAAGGCGAUUCUCCGAAGCUCACGGAAUCUGGGGAUUCACUCAUCGUCGUAUAAACACACCAUGUGGGUUAAAACGAGGACAAAUCCAGAUACUCACCAUUAGGGAAUGUCAAUGCAUUUCAACUGCUUGGCCCCACAAGGUCAAAACACAGCCACAGUGUCUUCUCACAAUCCUCCAGGCUCUUCCCAGAUUACAGAGAGUGAUCUGGUCCUAUUCAAGAGGACAGAGUAUCCACCAGGCUCUGUCAAAGCUGCUCAGCAAAGACCAGAUAACCUCAGUUUGCUGUGAAGGAUAGCAGGGGUUGCUCCCGGGGUACCUGGUCCUCCUGUGUGAAAUGGCUUGCUUUCUAGUCAUGCAACAUGUUUCAGUGCAACAAUAGAAACCCUAAGUAAGAUGAGUUGGUACCAGGAUUGUGGGUAUUGCUAUCACAGACCUGACCAUGUUGUUUGAGGGAGGAUUGUGGAAGGACUUUGGAACUUUGGGCUAGAAAAGCCAUUGAGUGUUGAGAGCUCAGUGGGAUGUUCUGUGGGUGCUUGGAAGGUAAGAGUGUUGAAAGCAAUGCAGACAACGGAGGCCUGGCUUGGGAAGUUUCAGAGAGAAGCAAAGACUCUACCAGGCCACUUGUGUGAGGAAUCUGUGUUGUCUGGUCAGCUGGGGCUGAAGAAUCAGCUGUGAUUAAGAAAUCAGCGUCACCGAGGUGAAAUCUUCUGGGAAGUGUUUUUUCAGGGUCAGCACACAGAAGUUGUGUUCCACAGAUGGCCAGUGUUGUAUCUUGCACUGGCAGACAAACUUCAUAGUAUAAAAAUCACCCAGGCAGACUCGUUUUGAAGGCAUGAAGGGGUCCUAGAAAGCAGCUAAGGCUUGACAUCGUGAGAGGCCAAGAAAGGACAUUGGUGACGGUGCAGCUGUAGUAGUAAUUGAACCCCCAGGGUUAAAGGAGCCAUGCUGAGAAAUUGAGGCCUUGUACCAUGAAGAGAGCCAGGACAGGCUCCUGUCGAGUGCAGCCCAGUUGCAGCAGAAGGCCCCAGUAUUCUGAAGAUGCCAGUACCAUGGGAUGACCACCAAGACAAUAGCACUGUGGAGUGGUGCCAGCCUGAGCCUAGAAGACAAGCUGUGUGGAAAGACAGCAGGGUCAGAGGAGCGACCCAAGCCCUCUGGCGGAGCCCAGGUGAUGCUGAGUGAAUCCCAGAUAAUUGCACAGCGAGUUAGCCCAUACUUCUGAGGUUUGAUUUUGUUUUACUCAGAUUUUGACCAUGCUCUGGUUCUUCCCUCUUGAAGUAAAAAAGUAUUUAUUUUUGAUUUUAUAGGAUCCCACAAUUGAGCGACUGAAUUAAAAAAAAAAAGAUUUUAGGUUAAAGGGGACUUUAGAUUUUUAAAAAGGCUGGAUUUUAAAAUGUAUGAGUUUGUAAAGACUUUUAAAAUUCAUAAACUAUUUCCUAGUGGGAUGUUGAUAUUCAUGUACGAUCUUCAGGAUGAACAAAAAAGGAAAAGUUGUGACUUAACAGUGUCAUGCUAGUGUGUCAAGUUGACAAGGAGUCAGUUGUUCAGCUAGCUUUAUGCCAACUUGACACAAGGUACAGUCAUCUGAGAGGAGGGAACCUUAAUUGAGAAAAUGUUUCCAUAAGAUCCAGCUAUUUUCGUCGGUCGUGGUGGCACACGCCUUUAGUCCCAGCACUUGGGAGGCAGAGGCAGACAGAUUUCUGAGUUCGAGGCCAGCCUGGUCUAUAAAGUGAGUUCCAGGACAGCCAGAGCUAUACAGAGAAACCCUGUCUCGAAAAACAAAACAAAAAACAAAACAAAAAAAGAUGUAGUUAUUUUCUUAAUUAGUGAUUGAUGGGGAGGUUCCAGCCCAUUGUGGGUGGUGCUGUCACUGGGCUGUGACCCGGGGUUCUAUAAGAAAGCAAGCUGAGCAAGCCAUAGGGAACAAGCCAGUAAGCAGCACUCUCCAUGACCUCUGCAUCAGCUCUGGCCUCCCAGGUUCCUUCUCUGUUUAAGUUUCUGUCCUUGCUUCCUUCAGUGAUGGACUACAAUGUGGAAGUGUGAGCUGAAUAAACCCUUUCCUCGCCCAACUUGCUUUUGAUCAUGGCAUUUUGCUGCAGCAAUAGAAACUCUAAGAAACCUAUGGAGGGUUUGAACCUUGUGACAUUCCUGUCUCAGCUUCCUGAGUUGUUGGGGUUCCAGAGGGAGCGAUCAGGCAAGGAGGAAAGUCUUUGCUUUCCAUAGCCUUCUGAGCACCCAGUUAAGAUCACCAACAGCAUGUACAUUUUAAGAUGUAGCUCGGUUGGUGGAGUACUUGUCUAGUAUGUGCAUAGUCCUGGCUGCUGUUCUCAGUACUGCACAAGUCUGGUGUGCUCAUGCACACCUGUCUGCAGUCUCAGCCUUGGAAGUGGGGAGGGGGAGGAUCAGAAGACCACGGUCAUCCUGGGCAUCCAUCAGCACAUCACAUAGUAAGUUCGAGGACUACGUGCGGCACUGUGCUCUACAUCCUGUCCGUUGCUAUGGUAAAACACUGACUAAAACAUCAACUUAGGCAAGGAGAGGGUUUCUUUGGCUUAUCAAUCCAGGCCACAAUUCAUCAUUGAGGGAAACCAGGGCAGGAGUGCAGAGGCUGAAACUAUUUAGGGCCCCUACUCACUCAUUCUCACUACUCACCCACUUACGCUUAGCAAACUUUCUCACCUGCCUAGGGAUGGUGCUGCCUAUAGUGGGCAGCGCCCUCCCAGGUCAAUUCCUAAUCAAGACACAGUUCCCAGAAGGCAUGGCCACAGGCCAGUCUGAUGGAGACCAUUCCUCAGCUGAGGCUUCUUCUCUUAGAUGAAUGUAGGCUGUCUGAAGUCAACAAGUCCAAUUAGGACACCCUGUCUCAAAAACAAAGCAAAAAAACCGUAUGUUGAGCACUGAAAGGUACAUAACAUCUUAGCAUGGGCCAACAGCGGAUGUUACUUCCCUCUUAACAUCCAGAUUACAGUCACUUUUCAGAAUGGUUUUUGUUUUUUAAAAACACGUAUGUUACAAAGAGGAGAGAGAGACACAGGAGAGCAAGCUUCCUCGCUAGCUGAUGUGGUUGCACCACUGGCUCUGCCCUUGGUAGCAGUAAAGGUCACCUGGGCAAAGUGACAUCACAAGCUGUGCCUCAGCCUCCCUGUCUAUGAAGUAGAAAUGGUGACAUGAAGUAACACAUCAACAAUGCUGAGUCCCAGCAAGGAUCGGGGUGAAGGAUCACCCAUAGCCAUUGGCAUCGCCACAACAAAGCAGCAGCCUACUUUAUAAACCUCCCUGGGGUUGGACCAUCUGUCUGUCGGUUUCCUCAGAAGUUUUGUUAUAGAAAGAGUAAUUCAGUGUCUGGCUUAAUCAAUGAGACUAAUAGUUCUGUGUGAAAUGGAAUCAGAUGGUGGAAUCAGCUGACUGUCCUGUGGUGUCACAAGCUGGAGAACGGUGGGAAGGUGGUAGAGACACUGAGAAGUCUCCAGUCUCUGACACAACAGACAAAGUGAUUCAUCUUCUUCGGGAUCUGGUCUUUUCUUUCUAAGUAUUCCUUUUGGAAACAAUCCCAACACAGAAAUAAACACACACCACCACCACUGCCAGUCUCAUGUUAACUGUACUUUUUUUUCAUUGGAAUUAACGUCUUUUCUUUUCUUUUUUUAAGAUUUAUUUUAUUAUGUGAGUACACUGUAGCUGUCUUCAGAUACGCCAGAAGAGGGCAUUGGAUCCUGUUACAGAUGGUUGUGAGCCACCAUGUAGUUGCUGGGAAUUGAACUCAGGACCUCUGAAAGAGCAGUCAAUGCUCUUAACCAACUGAGCCAUCUCACCAGCCCUAGAAUUAACUUUUAAAAUCGUUAUUCUGGAUAUAAAUUCAUGGUACCUGUUUGGGGCCAUGUUUUGUCUUUUUGGAAUUUUCUUUUCCUGUAUGGUACUGGAGAUUGACUAGAGUCUUGCAUAUGCUAGGCACAUGCUGUACUAUCAAUGUACUGUAUUACUGUUAUUAAUAACCAUGAAUAUGCUAUUUAUAUCCUAUUUUAAAUUAUUUUAUUUUUUCUGUGUAUGUGCCCAAGUGCAUGUCUGUGUACCAUUUGCAUGGCUGAGGCCCACAGAAGCCAGAGAGAGGGCAUCAGACCCUCUGAAACUAGAGUUAAGAUCAUUGUGAGCCAUCAUGUGGGUGUUGGGAACCGAACCCAGGACCUCUGUAAGAGCAGCAACUGCUCUGACCCUCACCCUUGGAGCCAUCCUUGAUCCUCUUCCUUCCCUUUGUGAGUAAGAUUGCAGUAAGCUGCACAGGCUAACCUAGAACUCACUCUGCAACCCGGGCCAGCCCCGACUGUGUAAACUUCCUACACCAGUUUUCUGAGCAGCUGAGAUCCUGAUGCUGUGCUUCCAGGGCAGACAUGAUGACUUUCCCUUCAAAUCUUGUGACUGGAAUCUUUCAUUGCCAAUUGCUAUCUACUAAAUUUUGCUCAGAAACAAGGAUGGAGGGCUACAGAUGAAGCAGCUGGCCUGGAAAAGCAUUAAUAGGAGAGGCUAUUCGUGGCAGGAAUGGCUAAAGAGGGGAAUGCUAUGGCACCCUGACUGCCAUGGUUUGAAUAUGCUCUGCCCCAGGGAAUGGCACUAUCUGGGGCUGUGGCCUAUUGGAGUAGGGGUGACCUUGUUGAAAUAGGUGUGUCACUGUGUGUGUGGGCUUUAAGACCCUUAUCCUAGCUGCCUGGAAGUCAGUAUUCUGCUAGCAGCCUUCAGAUAAAGAAGUAGAACUCUCAGCUUCUCCUACACCAUUACCUGCCUGGAUGCUGCCAUGUUCCUACCUUGAUGAUAAUGGACUGACCCUCCUCUGAACCUGUAAGCCAGCUCCAAUUAAAUGUUAUCCUUAUAAGACUUGCCUUGGUCAUGGUGUCUGUUCACAGCAGUAAAACCCUAAGACACUAUCGAUGCCUGGCCACUCAGGAGGAACACAGGUACUGACAUAAUGUGAAGAGCCCAAGAUUCCGCUGGCCUUGCAAGGUGGAAACUGCCUGCCACACUCUCUUGGAUGCUGUAGGAAGCAGGAGAACCCUGAGUCAAAGUGAAAAGAAAUGUCCCUAUGGACAGCCACUGCAGCACCCAAGGAACCGACUGUCCUAUUUCUCUUAGCUCCCGAGGCCCCAGAGAAGCAGUUCUCAACCUGUGGGUUGCAUCUCCUUUGGGUGUCAAACAGCCCUGUCCCAGGAGUCAUCUAAGACCAUCAGAAGACACAGAUACUUACAUGAUGAUUCAUAACAGUAGUAAAAUUACAGUUAUGAAGUAGCAAUGAAAAUAAUUUUACAGUUGGGGUUCACCACAACAUGAGUGACUGUACCUAAGGGUGGCCUGUGUCAGGAAUGCUGAGAACCAGUGCUGCAGAGAGAUGAAAAGGGAGAGCCAUGAAGCACAUUACAUUCAGUGGGUGCCUUAUAAGAGCAGAACCCUUGGGAGUUAAGAGAUGGCCCAGCACUUAAGAGCCCUGGGCGCUCUUACAGGAAACCCAGGUCCCAUUUCUAAAUCAACCACACAAUGGCUCAGAACUAUUGGUGACUCCAGUUCUUGUGGAAUCUAACACCUUCUGGGCUCCUUGGACACACACAUGGUGCAUAGACACACAGGCAAAACACCCACACACACUAAAUAAGUCAGACACACACACACACACACACACACACACCCUGGAAAAGUUUCCUGUCUUUUACUCAGUCCAGAAACACUAUAUACAUUGGUUUGGAU
rnacentral:lncRNA from 1 species